GCCAGUAGUCAUAUGCUUGUCUCAAAGAUUAAGCCAUGCAUGUCUAAGUUCACACCCUUGUACGGUGAAACCGCGAAUGGCUCAUUAAAUCAGUCGAGGUUCCUUAGAUGAUCCAAAUCUACUUGGAUAACUGUGGUAAUUCUAGAGCUAAUACAUGCCAACCAGCUUCGACCCGACUCGCAAGGGCCGGGAAAGAGCGCUUUUAUUAGUUCAAAACCAGUCGGGUUCUUUCAUUAGGGCCCGUCCGUUGGUGACUCUGGAUAACUUUGUGCCGAUCGCAUGGCCUCGAGCCGGCGACGCAUCUUUCAAAUGUCUGCCCUAUCAAAUGACGAUGGUACGUGAUCUGCCUACCAUGUUGGCAACGGGUAGCGGGGAAUCAUGGUUCGAUUCCGGAGAGG
rnacentral:rRNA from 1 species